GGUCUGGUGGUGUAGUGGUAAUACAUCCUCUGUAUAUAAAUGGGGGAAGUUAUUUGUUCCUGAGGAAGUCCCCUGUUCGACUCAGGGUCAGGCCA